GGGGCGGCGCGGGCACGAUUCCUUCCCCGCGGAUCUGGCGGGGGAGCAGAGGAGGGAGCAGCCCUGCCCGGAGUCUCAGGCUCCCGCCAGCCCCAAUCCCGGGCGACUGCGCCGAGCGCCUCCGGAGUCGCGGGAAGCUCCUCCUGCUCCGCGGCUGGCGCCAGUUGCACGGUGGCCGCCCCCAAAUUCGAGGAGGAAGGUGCAAAGUGGUGGGAGGCUGCGGGUCUCCCGGAGGGUGAGGCGUUGGGGACCAGGCGGGAGCACAGCCGAACCCCUACCUUUCGGGCGGGGCGGACACCAGCCGCGCGCCCUCGCCGGGCGCCGGGACCGGAAAAUCACCGCGAAGGGAGGGACGAGGAAAGGCGGCGGGUGGCUUCAGGACAAGGACUUUGUGAUUACAUUGGGCCCAUCCAGAUCAUCCAGGAUCAUCUUCCCAUCUCAAGAUUCUUCACUUAAUCACAUCUGCAAAAUUCCUUUUGCUGUGUAAGCUGUGAGAUAUCGGUGGGCGAGGAUGUGAUGCCUGAAGAUGUGGCAUCUACCUUGAAACAGUCAAGGACCUGAGGAUGAAGCCAGCAUCUGAGGAAGACAGACAGAAAGGAUCUGGAUACAUCAUGAGCCUGAAAAGUAUCUUGCAUACACAACUGGCAGCACAGAAUCCUGACAAACCUCUCAUCAGAAAUCAACCACAGACUCUUUAUGCUCUUACCAAAAUGCUGGCUUUGAGAACUAAUUAUGAAUGAAAAUUACUGAUGUGAUUUUCAGGUUGAUUCUGUUAUACAAGUACAGAAUAACUGCAGUACAAAACAGCAAUCAAGUCUGAACAGGAAAUCUCUGGACAAAGAGAAAAAUACUAUCAUUGAAAUAAGGGACAAGGGAUUAUGGCAAUAUUAAAUAAUGGCACUGAUUAGUGAAAUGAUUCUAGGGGGAAGUGUCAAAAGAUUUUCUAAAGAACAUGUACUGAGCAGAUGAUCGCUGACUGCAUAAUUGCCCUUUCUGGGUAGGUGUGUAAGACACACACACGCACACACACGUUUGGGAGAAUUGUGACCAUCGGGUUCCAUAGUAACAAGAUAAGUUAUAAUAGCCACCUUUCAUUGAGCACCUACAAUAUGUCACAAACUGUGAUAGGGACUUUAUGUAUUUCAAUACACUAUCUGUUAUCUAUUUUCCUUUUUUUUUGGAGACGGAGUUUCACUCUUGUUGCCCAGGCUGGAGUGUGAUCUCGGCUGGUGCUAUCUCGGCUCAUGGCAACUUCUACUUCCCGGGUUCAAGUGAUACUCCUGUCUCAGCCUCCCGAGUAGCUGGGAUUACAGGCAUGCACUACCACGCCUGGCUAAUUUUGUAUUUUUAGUAGAGACGGGGUUUCUCCUUGUUGGUCAGGCUGGUCUCAAACUCCCGACCUCAGGUGAUCUGCCAGCCUCGGCCUCCUGAAGUCCUGGGAUUACAGGCGUGAUCCAUCUCACCCGGCCUUGUUACCUAUUUUCUAUUGGUAACUGAGGUAAAACCUAUUGGAGGCUUAGCAGUAGGUUCAUGUGUUCAUACAUUUUGGGGAAUGUAAGAGAGUAUCAGGGCAAUUGAUUAUUGCCUUUGUGGGUUGAAAGCAGCAACACAGGAAUAGAUUGCUGAUAUGAAGAGUGAGAUGACCUGUAGAGUAAGCAAUCUAACCAUUAACAUCAACUCAACUUGGGCAAUAAAAUUUGAUAUUUUACUUAUGGGACAAAUAUUUAUUGAGUGUCCAGUUUGUGUCAGGUACUAAAUACGUAAGCUUUACUAAUCCCACUUCUAGAAGAAUGAUUUCUUUUUCUUUUUGAAAUAACACUUCAGCAGAGCACCACAUUGUUUCAGACUUAAGUUUCCUUUUCCAUUUUGUCGACACCAACAGUGUUCUUAUAAUAUUAACUCACCAACAUUUAGUCUAUAAUAUGAUUGCCAGGGAUGUGGCAAUAUGUCCUUGGGAGCUUCAAGCCAUAUAUAUCUGGUCCAUCUUUUGGAAAGUUCAUGACAUAGAUGGGCAAGGAUACAAUUUAUACUCAGGAGAUGCAGCCACCCUAACAGAGUUACAAAUGAAUGUUAAAUGACAUAAACUAUGCGUAGUGCAAGCACGGAAGCAUCUCUUUGGUCUGAGGGAUAUUUGCAGGGACCUUGAAUAGGCAGAGAGAGGGGGACAUGUGGUCUAAGCCUCUGAGUUGGGAGAGGACAAUGAUGGGCAUGGGGGAGAAUGUAUAUGCUGUUUGACUUGAGAGGAUGACAUGUAGGCAUUAUGGUAGUCUUUUUCUUGACAUCUGAUACACAAUCACUUCUUUCUUUUCUCCAUGAAAUCUAGCCACAAAGAUGAGUUGCUCAAAUGUCAAGGUCUACCCCUCUUUAAAGCCUCCAUGAUUUGCACUCUCUGCAGCCUUGGCCAGGAUUGUCCUUAUCUUGCCCUGUCGCUGAUGGGUUAUUUACUACUCAUCUUUCAAGGGCCGGGUAGAAUUUUACCUAUUCUGAGACACCUUCAAGCAGAAUGAGUCUUUCCUUUGCUGUGCUCCCAUGACACAAUGCUCAUCUUCAAUAAAUAAUUAUAUUUUUUGUACCUUCAGUGUAUCAUGUUCAUCUUUGCAUCCCCAGUUUCCUCAAGAAUCCUGGCAUGAAAGAAUAUGCUUGUUGAGUGAAUAAAUUGGCUGAUUCUAAUGUUCAUAAGGCAAAGUUCACCUGUCCUAAUUGCUGAUUCAAUUCCAAUUUGACAGUGUCUUACAGAUUCUGGGUAAAUUGGGAUACUUCCCUUUGUCCUAACAUUGGAAAACCUUGGAGAAAAGUAUUGUUAUUUUCUACAUCAAGUACUUUAUCUGAGACAUGGGCAGCUAAAUAAAAAAUUGACACCU
rnacentral:lncRNA from 1 species